rnacentral:rRNA from 1 species
UACGGAGGGUGCAAGCGUUGUUCGGAAUUACUGGGCGUAAAGCGCGUGUAGGCGGCUUUUUAAGUCUGAUGUGAAAGCCCGGGGCUUAACUCCGGAAGUGCAUUGGAAACUGGAAGGCUUGAGUACCGGAGAGGAGGGUGGAAUUCCUGGUGUAGCGGUGAAAUGCGUAGAUAUCAGGAGGAACACCGGUGGCGAAGGCGGCCCUCUGGACGGAUACUGACGCUGAGACGCGAAAGCGUGGGGAGCAAACAGG